rnacentral:rRNA from 1 species
AUGCAAAAUCCAAGAAGUCUGACUAGGUUCUUGUGCUGCAGCUUGGCAAUCAGAACUACUUCAUUUUUGAACUCCUCUAUACCUUGUUUAGAACCCUUACUGAGCCUCUUAACAGCAACUUCAUUUCCACCUUUCAGUGUGCCCUACAUAAGCAGAUAUUUCUCAGUUGAGCAGCAAUGCCUUGACUCAUAUAGUUGCCUUUUCACACGAAGUGCACUUUGUCACCCUUUUAACUUUGAGCCGAGGAGAUAUUAUUUCAACUUUGUAAAUUUGAACAUCAAAACUAGUGGAAAUCACCAACUCAUCCCAAACAAUGUCGAUUUAGACAAUAUGGCAUCAAGACAGACAUGUUUCACUAAUUUGGUACCCACUUCAAGUUAUUUGGUCAGCAAUAAUAAUAAUAAAUAG